AGUUAGAAUUAGUGGAAUUGUCAAAAUGGUCAUUGACUUUAAAUAGCAAUUAUUGGGCCCUUUGCACAGCCACAUAGUCACAUUAUACACAGAGCCUUAAAUUUACAGGUUUCCACAAAAAAAGAGCUCUAUAUAGCAAGACAACAAGCCCUCUUAUUAGAGUGCUAGAUAGGGUAUGUAGCUAUCCGUCUAUUAAAAGAAAAUGCAUUAUCUGUAAUAAGUAUUGGAGGGAUUGAGGCCAUCACUAGAUCCUCUAUCCCAAGAUUGCCUGCUGUUGCAAUCCUUUUAGAAAUGAUUCUUGGAUUUUUGGGGGGAUUUUUUCUUCACAUAAAGAAUUUAUACCAUUAACUGGCUUACAUGGCCAGACACACCGUGGCCUAUUAUAAAUAGGAAGUGGUCAAAUAGCUCAACUAGAAAGGAUUCUAGCAAAUUUGAAGGGGAAAAAAAAAAAGUUGGUGCGAUUUAUGUCUAGGAAGCUUUCCAUCCAAUCAGUCUACCCAGCAUGACAGUAUUAAUGUCCUUAAAUAGUAAAUAUAAAUAGAGUAAUUCUGAUCAGCUUUUUCCUAUUGUUCCUGCUGUGGAUUUUUCAGAUUCAUAAGGUAUGUGGAAGAGUGUUCUCUACUAAACUGUAUAGAAGUUUUUAGACUCAGUGGGUGAAAUCCAAACCCUAUUGAAGUCCAUGGGGAAUUUUACUAUAUAUUUCAAUAGAAUCAGGUUUUCACUCAAUAUCUUUAGCUGGGCUCUUCGUUAUUUUGGGAAUAUUGGAUUGAUGAUCAAGGAAAGCGGUUAAUUUGUGCAUUUCUACAAGCCUGUAAACAGUUACCUCAAAUGGAACUGUUCUUAGGUUCCUUGUAUCACCAGAAACUGGAACAUGGGAUUGACUGAAGUGACUGUUAGGUGGAAUAACUUCCAAGGUACUUGGUAAAUGGGACUUUUUUGUCAAUGUUUGACACAAUGGACGUGUAGAACAUUGUAUCCAUUUAAUUGUCUCUUUUUCUGUAUAGCUGUUUUACUAAUGGACUACUCUCUUUUUUUCUUUUUGAUUAUAGCAUGCUAUUGAAAUCUCUUGUGCUUUUAAAAUCAAUUAAAUGAAGAAAUGUAGUGGUUUGUCUCCUAUUAAUAGGUACUAGAAUUCAAAACACGCUGUGUGUGAUAGAUCCAUAGCACAGCAGCAAAUGGGUGAAACUUCGCAUACAACAAACUAAUGCUUGAGAGAAAAUACUUGGCAGUAAUAUUUGAAAACUCAGGGGCCAUUUAUUGUCUUCAAAAUAUAGAAUUGGAAAAUGUUGUUGUUGGAUAUAUUUGGUGCUUAUGAAAGUGAGUAUUGCCUAGGUAUAAUUCAGAGGAAGUGCUGUGAUUUCACCCUCCCCCCACUCUGCCAAUACACUACAGUCAUGACCUGCACCAGGCUUGCCAUACCAGUGCUGGGCUAAACCUCCCUUAAGAUCAGACUAUGAAACAUGCUGACUGAUGCCUGAUUUAAUAUUAUUUUAUGAUGUGGACAAAUAUUUUCUAGGGAUUUACAAUGAAAACUAAUAGUGACAUUUUCACUUGGGAUUCAAACCAGGAUUAAAAUCCAUGCAUCUAUAAGUAAAGGCUAAUGCACUAAAGCUUAUAUGCCUCCUCCCAGCCUCCAUGCUGUGAUCCUUAAAGAUUUGUUUAGUAUAUAUUUUUUUUUUGUGGUCUAUACAAAGUAUAUACAGGGAAAUUUCUGAGAAAAUAAAGUCACUUGUUGGGCAAUCUGAGAAGAGAAAUAUAUAAAUGAAAUGAGCAUUGAUUUAGCCAUUGUCUAUAGAACUAUUUUUGAAAAUGUUUUCCCUAUUGUCCUUGAAGGAUUACUUACAGUCAGGAUUAUCUUUCUUUUAAGAGAUCCUAGUGGUAUAACAUUACAGUUGGUUUACUUCUAGUUUUCCCUGCAAAAUUAAAUUUCGGUGACUUCCAGAAAUGUGUGUAAAUAUUAAACUUGAUGAAACAUUCUUUUGAAGCAGGAAUAAUACUGAUAAAUAUAAAUUCAGUACAGUGCUAACACUCCCUACUGUAUAUAGUGCAUAUCUGUAGUGCACAUGCAUUUUACUGUAUUGUAAAUGCCAGCAAUAACAUUAACACUGUUGCUUAUUUGUGUGUAAAAUAAAUACAUACUUCCUCUUUUCCCCUUCAUGUUUAGGCUAAGAGUGGGAUAUACCGAAUCCCAAAAUACCAACAUCUGUUAUCAUAAAGUCAUAGAAUUUAAGACAAGCAGGGACCACUCUAUCAUCUAUUCUGAUCUCUUGUAUAUCACUGGCCAGGGCUAGCGAUAGGCUGUAUACUGACUGAGAGCUUGAAGGUGAUAACAGCAUGUCUCUCAACAGGACUUGUGAAGUUUCCUUUCUGAAUAAUAUUGUAGGCUUACUGCCCAAAGCAAUCUACUACUGCAGGAUUUGUUUCACUGAGGAAACAAUGGACAUAUUGAAUAAAGCUGUAGCUAAUGAUGGUCUUUAUGUCCCUGUGUCCUUUACUUUAAACAAGGUAAAUGUACAACAUUUCCUUUAUAUCUUUGUCCUGGAGGGCCUAUACUGCUACUUCUCUUCGUCUCCAGUUUAAGCCCUGUCUACACUACAAAAUUAAGUUGACCUAACUGACGUGGGCAUAUAGCCACCACAGUAAUUACAUCGCUUGUGCAUGUCUGGCUUGCUUCUUGAAUUAGUGGUAUACGGCCUCACGAGCUGCGUUUGUGUUGAUUGUACUCUGUGUGGGACAGCUUCUGAAAGCCAGUAGCAGUUGACAUAAGCAACCCAGCAUCUAUGCUGACGCUACAUCGACCUUGAUUUUAUGCCACUUGUGGAGGUGGAGUUCUUAAAUGCCCCACUAUGCCUACUUAUGUUGGUGGAAAUGAAACUUAAGUGUAGAUACUGCCUUAGUUAGGUCGAUGCAAGGCAGCUUAUGUUGACCUGUGUGUUGUAGACCAGACCUAAAACUACUUAUUUCCCUACAUCAUCACAUACAAUAGUCCUGCAUGCAUCCACUGUUCUUCACCUCCUGUUGCCUCUUCUGAUGGGAAUGAGCCCUCCAGCUGGCAGGGGCGAGCAGUUUAGAAUAUGAGGAGGUCAGUCAAAUGGUUUUGCUGGUAUGUUUGUACAAAGUCUAACAGCUCAUGGUGGGCCACAGUGAUUACACUCCCCUCUGAAGUAAGGGGCAUGAGUCUGGUAUGCUGACAGAUUAAUGCCUAAAAACGAACAUGGCAGCAUAAAAUAAGCCACACACACAAUGAGUUAUUGAAUGAAAGUUAAACGGUAAAUUCUUCUCAAGGCCCACGCAGGCAACCAGACACACUGCUACAGAGAAUGGUAGUGAUGAGUUGCCAAUUUUUCAAGAAGGGGCUCCCACACAUCUGCCAUUAAUACAAGUGAUAUUCCCUAAGCAAAAAACACUCCUCCAUAAAAGCCAUCAAUUACAUAUGCCUCUCUCACUGCUCAGAAUAUUGAUACAUCCCUUGCUUCCUACCCCUUUCUCUCCUCUCUCCUCCCCCAGGCCCUUCAUCAAUCCUUAUACCACCAGAAUGGUUGUUACACACACGCACAAAAUGUGCUCAGGUUUUACCGAUUUUUUUUUUUCCAUCUGGUUUCCACAUCACAUGAGUCCCACUCCUGAUCUAUAGUUAUGGGUUACUUUAACCAGAUACCUCCUACCCAGAGUUAAUUCUAAAAUAAUUUAUCUUUAUUACCCAACCAACAAUACACAUGCUGCAGUCUGGUAAAGGACAGUGAGACUAAUAAGGAACUCAUAGUAUUUGCAGGUUUCAGAGUAGCAGCUGUGUUAGUCUGUAUCCGCAAAAAGAAAAGGAGGACUUGUGGCACCUUAGAGACUAAUUAAUAUUUAUUUGAGCAUAAGCUUUCGUGAGCUAUAGCUCACUUCAUCGGAUGCAGUAUUUGCAUUACUCACCUUGGGUCUUGUGGAAAAACCUGAAGUGUUAGUCCUACUCUUCAUCUUCACCAUCACCCUCCUCCUCAUCACCAGUGACCCUCAUCGUAGCGUCUCCCCCUACCAAGGCAUGCAAGCCAGGAUAAAGCUUUUAUAAUGUGUUAUGCUGACACCUACUGGGGUACAUACCUAUUUAGGAAGAUUGUAACCAUUUUUCCUUAUUUGAACUUCCAUACUCUGCUACUUUUGGGGUGCCAUGUUUUUCAGAGACUAACUCAUUAGUUCGCGGUAUACUCAUUAACAUUUAUGUGACCGUAUCACCAUACAGGCAGUUAUCUUAAGGAAGUCUCUUAAGAUUUCACCCUGGCUACCAAUGGUCAUCUUGUGCUGUCUGCUGAUCUCUCCUAGACAUUAUGUUCCAAACUCAGCUGUUAUUUUCAAAACACCAGCAUAUCACAGACAGAGCCACUAGUUCAGCAGGUUUGUUAUUAAGUUACUUGUGCUAACUUAUCUUUAUAAUAUAGUUAAUUUAUCCUAAGGCCUAAUCUGGCUAAACUAAAUAGUUUGCACACCUGAGGCCUUUAGGCUCUGUGUUACAACAGUAAUUAAUCUUUAUAUUUUACCUCUAUAUCCUAAAUAUAUCUGAUACCUUUGAUCCUUGGCGACCAGCUACCCCCUUGAUGGGGUGAUUAGAUGUAAGAACCCCAUCACAUGUGACUAUUUUAAGGGCUGGUUGUUUCUCCAUCUGGGGGCUCUGGUGGUUGGUAUGCUCUUAACUGGUUGUGAUGGACAAAUAGAAGCAUAGGAAUAUACUUUGAUAAACAUUUCUCUCUACAUAUAACUGUGGCUAUAGGUGCCACUGAUUGAUAUUGGAUAUUGGUUGGAACAACUGUGGUAGAAAUUGGAUGGGAAUAGGUUGAAUUAAUUGUGCCUGGUUCCUUGGGUUCUUUUUGAUACCUCUGACUUAAUGCCUUAAUUUUGCUAUACACAUAAGGAAAUAAUAAUUAGUACAAUUAUAUCUUAAACCACAGUCCAUCAUCUUAAUACAAUUUCCAUUGAUUGAGGAGUUGCUAACGCUUCAUCUGCUCCAUCUAAUAGUUUACUUAAUGCUUGGUUUAUAUUAUUACUGAUUUCAAUUAAAUAAGAAAUUUCUUGUAACAACUGUUUUCGUUGUAAAUCCAAUGUUUGGGAUAUGCACAUGAAACGCUGGGGUGCUUUGUUCUGUUAGAUGUUGAUGAUCUGGAUUGCAAAUAAUUUUAGUUUUAAGAACAGAUAGUGGAGAGAGUGCCACAUUCCCAAUAAACAUAUCUACUUUUGGCUUAAAACAGAAGUUUUGAGUUCUGACCAUGCACCUAAUUUGACCAUAAUAAAAUUCCUUUUGGUUAAUAACUAAACAAUAUUGCCUGUUUCCAUUAUAGGUCACCACCAUAGGAGAUUUUCACUUUGUUAGCUUCAUUGCACAAGACAGUGGUGUUGGACUAGGUUUUAGCAGGUCUCAUUGGUCGUCUUCUUCGUGGCUACACAGUAAUGUUGCUACCUCAAACACAUCACAGCUGCAGAUACACUGAUGUUCUUUUUGAGAACAACAGGCGAUUCACAGCACCUUCCAGUUUGAUAGGACUUGGCUUCCUUGUUCAUGCUACUGGAGUUGGAGAAACAAUUUGACCAUCAUGACCCCUUCAGGUACAUGUUUUUCCAAUAUAUAAAUGGAUACCUUUAUACUGAUACCAUUAGUCCAGGGUAUAAACUUAAUGCUGUCCCAUAUUUUGGUUAUUAGUCUUCCCCAAACUGAGAAUACUGCCAUUUGGGGAUGAGAUCAUACUGCUUCAAAGAUGACACCAGUGCAUCAAAAGGCGUUCUUAGAGCAGACUGCUCCAGACCACAGUUACUAGUAUUAGAGUUCACACCAUCUGGAGUUUUUACAUAUCCACUUUCUGGAUUUCAUAGUUGAGCUCUCCAUGGGUGAUGUUACAGUCUACUGGAAACAUCUUCAGAGGAGGAGGGGCUAUGGAAGGGAAGGAUGGUUUUAUGGCUAAAGUAGAGAGUGCUUCUGCCACAGACUUCCUGUGUGACCUUGGGCAAAUCACUUCAUCUCUCUUUGUCUCAGUUCCUGACGUGUAAAAAGCAUUGUGGUGGGGGAAAUAAAACUUAUUCCCACCUUGCGGUGGUAUUGUGAAAAUUAAGUCAUUUUUGCAAAAUUAUCUGGGAAACCUCAGACAGAAGGUGAUAUGUAAAUGCAAACUAUUAUUAUUAUAUUUAUUAUUCAGAUCUUGUUCUUGAUUUGAUGGAAAGUAUUGAUACUGGCUAUAUAUUUCUGGAAGAAUUAUUGUGAAACUGCUAGCCAGGCUUCUGUUUUAUUAAAGGAUAUUAUUUUUUUAAAUUGAAAUUAUUUAUAUAUGAUUGAUAUAGCAGGAAAACAUCUGAAGUUCCCCUCCAACUAUUUGUUUUCUCAUCCUCUUGCAGUUGCUGUUUCCUUUGAGUAAAUCCCAAAUUAUAUUGAUUUUGAAUUGUACAAAACUUUUCCUCAGAGUCAUUCAUAGAUCUUAACUGGCCUUUUAUCCAUCUUGCCCUUUUCCAGCCACAGUAUGCUAAUCUUAUCAAAUACCCUGUCAUAAAUAUAAAGGGAAGGGUAACCACCUUUCUGUAUACAGUGCUAUAAAAUCCCUCCUGGCCAGAGGCAACAGCCUGUUACCUGUAAAAGGUGAAGAAGCUC